rnacentral:lncRNA from 1 species
CUUGUAGGGGUUGACAGUGACACAGAAGAGGCCCGAGUAGGUGUAGAUCAUCCAGGCUGCAUAACGCUCUUUGAGGUUGUACAGCACAGCGGGUUCGUGGAGGUGGGUCAUCAUGGCCAUGUCCUCAAUUUUAUCGUACUUGGGAGGGUUCAUGGAGAAGAUUUGAUCUUCCUUCACGGUUAGAGUUUCACCACCUUCAGUCUUGACAGUGACCUUCCCCGAUUCUUUACUCUGGAUUGUACUUUUCACAUAGGAUUCUUUAGCAUGUACCACAAAGACUGAUGACUUGGCAUCAAAAGGCUUGUUCUGGGCCUCAAUCCUCUCCUUUUCUGACUUUCGGAGGUAAGGGGCUGCCUCCCCAAAUAUGGCCAUAUCAGCAUCUGUAGCCAUCGUCGCUGUUUAUUGGGAGUAAUGCAGCAAGUAUCUUUUGUGAGAUCAGAUGAAUGGCUCGCAGACUGGAAGUUGGUCUUGAAAGCAGAUUGAAAAUCCCAGCUGACACUGGCAGUCUCCCAUGGAAUGAAUAUAAGCAUUUGCAGGAAUGCACUGGUGCUUGUGGAACGCAGGGCCACUUUCCCUUCACUCUCCCAUCUCCCCAGUUGAAAGUCCCCGACACUCUUACCUUAGAGAUUUCUGAAGAAGGACAAGACACACUGACCCUAAGGUCCUUUUAUAGGCUCUGAUUUGCAUACGUAGCAGCCACCUCCUGUUUCUUAGGUCAAAACAUUUUUGGCACUCUUAACUCCUAGCAGAAUUCCCAUUCAUUAGAAGUGAAUGGAUAUAAUUAGACAUAACGGGUCUGUGAAUCUAUCUCCUAUAAAUAAUUUGACAAGAGUGUGUGAGAAGAGGGGAGGGAGUGUACAGGAGUAUGUACUAAAGGAGAUGAAAG